UACAGAGGGGGCAAGCGUUAUUCGGAAUUACUGGGCGUAAAGGGCUCGUAGGCGGCCAACUAAGUCGGACGUGAAAUCCCCAGGCUCAACCUGGGAACUGCGUCCGAUACUGGAUGGCUUGAAUUCGGGAGAGGGAUGCAGAAUUCCAGGUGUAGCGGUGAAAUGCGUAGAUAUCUGGAGGAAUACCGGUGGCGAAGGCGGCAUCCUGGACCGACAUUGACGCUGAUGAGCGAAAGCUAGGGGAGCAAACGGG
rnacentral:rRNA from 1 species